rnacentral:tRNA from 1 species
GGUGGCUCAGUGGUAGAGCGCUUGCCUCGCAUGCAUGAAGCCCUGGGUUCGAUUCCCCAGCACCA